rnacentral:rRNA from 1 species
GACGAACGCUGGCGGCGUGCUUAACACAUGCAAGUCGAACGAUGAACCAGGGCUUGCCCUGGGAAUUAGUGGCGAACGGGUGAGUAACACGUGGGCAACCUGCCCCUGACACUGGGAUAACCCCGGGAAACCGGGGCUAAUACCGGAUAUGAACCUCGAGGGCAUCUUCGAGGUUGGAAAGUUUUUCGGUCAGGGAUGGGCCCGCGGCCUAUCAGCUUGUUGGUGGGGUAAUGGCCUACCAAGGCGACGACGGGUAGCCGGCCUGAGAGGGCGACCAGCCACAUUGGGACUGAGACACGGCCCAAACUCCUACGGGAGGCAGCAGUGGGGAAUCUUGGACAAUGGGCGCAAGCCUGAUCCAGCCAUGCCGCGUGAGUGAAGAAGGCCUUAGGGUUGUAAAACUCUUUCGCCGGAGAAGAUAAUGACGGUAUCCGGAGAAGAAGCCCCGGCUAACUUCGUGCCAGCAGCCGCCGUAAAAC